rnacentral:rRNA from 1 species
UAGGGAAUAAUGCACAAUGGGCGAAAGCCUGAUGCAGCAACGCCGCGUGCGCGAUGACGGCCUUCGGGUUGUAAAGCGCUUUUCGGGGAGAUGAGGAAGGACAGUAUCCCCGGAAUAAGGCUCGGCUAACUACGUGCCAGCAGCCGCGGUAACACGUAGGAGCCAAGCGUUAUCCGAAUUCACUGGGCGUAAAGCGCGUGUAGGCGGCUUAUUAAGUUGGAUGUGAAAGCUCCUGGCUCAACUGGGAGAGGACGUUCAAAACUGGUAGGCUAGAGGGCGACAGAGGGAGGUGGGAUUCCCGGUGUAGUGGUGAAAUGCGUAGAUAUCGGGAGGAACACCAGUGGCGAAGGCGGCCUCCUGGGUCGCACCUGACGCUCAGACGCGAAAGCUAGGGUAGCAAACGG